rnacentral:rRNA from 1 species
UACAGAGGUCUCAAGCGUUGUUCGGAUUCAUUGGGCGUAAAGGGCGCGUAGGCUGCGGGGCAAGUCGGGUGUGAAAUCUCAGAGCUCAACUCUGAAACUGCACUCGAUACUGCUUUGCUCGAGGACUGGAGAGGAGAUUGGAAUUCACGGUGUAGCAGUGAAAUGCGUAGAUAUCGUGAGGAAGACCAGUGGCGAAGGCGGGUCUCUGGACAGUUCCUGACGCUGAGGCACGAAGGUCAGGGGAGCAAACGGG